CUACAAUUUGGGAAGUACUCUAUGCAUGGGGACACAGCAGUGAACAAACAUUGCCCAGAUGGAGCUCAAAUUCUAGAAUAUAAGUAUCUUUCAAAAGCAUAACUAUGAAACUGAAGAAAAGAAGUGGAAGAAAAACCUAAAAUUCAGGUCCUUGCUGCUCAAAAUGGGAAGUCUGACAAGUUAACAAAGAUGGCACAUGUCCAGGGAUGUCAAUUUAAUUCAGUUGUGAUCUCUUCCUCCUGCAUACAUUCCCAUCAUGAUACCAUCCACCAUGAGGUGAUGAACCCAAGGUGUCCUUCCUAGAGCCAGUACCAUGCUUUUUGGACUUUUAGCUUUCACUAUGUGAACCAAAUAAAC